rnacentral:lncRNA from 1 species
CGGCUUCACUAUGUCCCUAUCCUCGCACAUUUUCUUUGUUAUAUAUGCUGCAAUCACACGAGCUGGGACCUUCCUCACUUCAGUAUUUACGAGGUUGUUAGUGCAUGUGUGGGCAGGCACAAACUUUCGGACCAUCCAAAAGUCACCCUAUUGAGUAGCCCGCAACAGAAAUAGACACCGAGUCCGAUAUCUGCAUUUGAACGUAA